UACAGAGGGGGCAAGCGUUGUUCGGAAUUACUGGGCGUAAAGGGCGCGUAGGCGGCCGCCUAAGUCAGACGUGAAAUCCCUCGGCUCAACCGGGGAACUGCGUCUGAGACUGGGAGGCUUGAAUCCGGGAGAGGAAUGCGGAAUUCCAGGUGUAGCGGUGAAAUGCGUAGAUAUCUGGAGGAACACCGGUGGCGAAGGCGGCAUUCUGGACCGGCAUUGACGCUGAGGCGCGAAAGCCAGGGGAGCAAACGGG
rnacentral:rRNA from 1 species